AUUAGACGAAUCAUCUGGAAAGAUGAAUCAAAGAAGGUAAUAAUCCUGUAGUCGAAAAUGUUGUCUCUCUUGAGUGGAUCCUGAGUACGACGGAGCACGUGAAAUUCCGUCGGAAUCUGGGAGGACCAUCUCCUAAGGCUAAAUACUCUCUAGUGACCGAUAGUGAACCAGUACCGUGAGGGAAAGGUGAAAAGCACCCCGGAAGGGGAGUGAAAUAGAACCUGAAACCGUGUGCUUACAAGUAGUCAGAGCCCGUUAAUGGGUGAUGGCGUGCCUUUUGUAGAAUGAACCGGCGAGUUACGAUUUGAUGCAAGGUUAAGCAGUAAAUGUGGAGCCGUAGCGAAAGCGAGUCUGAAUAGGGCGUUUAGUAUUUGGUCGUAGACCCGAAACCAGGUGAUCUACCCUUGGUCAGGUUGAAGUUCAGGUAACACUGAAUGGAGGACCGAACCGACUUACGUUGAAAAGUGAGCGGAUGAACUGAGGGUAGCGGAGAAAUUCCAAUCGAACCUGGAGAUAGCUGGUUCUCUCCGAAAUAGCUUUAGGGCUAGCCUCAAGUGAUGAUUAUUGGAGGUAGAGCACUGUUUGGACGAGGGGCCCCUCUCGGGUUACCGAAUUCAGACAAACUCCGAAUGCCAAUUAAUUUAACUUGGGAGUCAGAACAUGGGUGAUAAGGUCCGUGUUCGAAAGGGAAACAGCCCAGACCACCAGCUAAGGUCCCAAAAUAUAUGUUAAGUGGAAAAGGAUGUGGCGUUGCCCAGACAACUAGGAUGUUGGCUUAGAAGCAGCCAUCAUUUAAAGAGUGCGUAAUAGCUCACUAGUCGAGUGACACUGCGCCGAAAAUGUACCGGGGCUAAACAUAUUACCGAAGCUGUGGAUUGUCCUUUGGACAAUGGUAGGAGAGCGUUCUAAGGGCGUUGAAGCAUGAUCGUAAGGACAUGUGGAGCGCUUAGAAGUGAGAAUGCCGGUGUGAGUAGCGAAAGACGGGUGAGAAUCCCGUCCACCGAUUGACUAAGGUUUCCAGAGGAAGGCUCGU
rnacentral:rRNA from 1 species